UACGUAGGGUCCGAGCGUUGUCCGGAAUUACUGGGCGUAAAGCGCGCGCAGGCGGCCCGCGAGGUGUCACGUGAAGGCCCCGGGCUCAACCCGGGAGGGUCGUGGCAAACCGGCGGGCUUGAGGCCGGUAGAGGUGGGUGGAACUCCUGGUGGAGUGGUGAAAUGCGUAGAGAUCAGGAAGAACACCCGUGGCGAAGGCGGCCCACUGGGCCGGUACUGACGCUGAGGCGCGAAGGCGUGGGGAGCGAACGGG
rnacentral:rRNA from 1 species